rnacentral:rRNA from 1 species
GAUUGAACGCUGGCGGCAUGGCUAAAACAUGCAAGUCGAACGAUUAAAGCCCNCUUCGGGGGUGUAUAAAGUGGCGAACGGGCGAGUAAUGCGUUUCUAACGUGCCCCGAGGUCGGGGAUAGCUGGGGGAAACCCCAGGUAAUACCCGAUGACCCCAUCGGAUCGCAUGGUCUGAUGGGCAAAGGCUUGCUGCCUCGGGAUCGGGAAACGUCCUAUCAGGUUGUUGGUGAGGUAACGGCUCACCAAGCCAGAGACGGGUAGCGGGUGUGAGAGCACGACCCGCCGCAUCGGGACUGAGACACUGCCCGGACUCCUACGGGAGGCUGCAGUAACGGAUAUUGGGCAAUGAGCGCAAGCUUGACCCAGCAAUGCCGCGUGCAGGAUGAAGCCCCUCGGGGUGUAAACUGCUGUCAGGGUUUAGGAAGCAAGUGACCAAACCCAAAGGAAGGGCCGGCUAACUUCGUGCCAGCAGCCGCGGUAAUACGAAGGGCCCGAGCGUUAAUCGGAAUCACUGGGCUUAAAGGGUGCGUAGGCGGAAACGUCAGUGUCUUGUGAAAUCCCACGGCUCAACCGUGGAACUGCAGGGCAUACUGCGUUUCUUGAGGCCGGUAGAGGUCGUCGGAACUCUAGGUGUAGCGGUGAAAUGCGUAGAUAUCUAGAGGAACGCCAAAGGUGAAGACAGGCGACUGGGCCGGUUCUGACGCUGAGGCACGAAAGCGUGGGGAGCAAACAGGAUUAGAUACCCUGGUAGUCCACGCCGUAAACGUUGUGCACUAGAUCCGGGAGGUUUUGACGCCGUCCGGGUCGAAGAGAAAUUGAUAAGUGCACCGNCUGGGGAGUAC